rnacentral:rRNA from 1 species
GACGAACGCUGGCGGCGUGCUUAACACAUGCAAGUCGAACGGAAAGGCCCUGCUUUUGUGGGGUGCUCGAGUGGCGAACGGGUGAGUAACACGUGAGUAACCUGCCCUUGACUUUGGGAUAACUUCAGGAAACUGGGGCUAAUACCGGGUAGGAGCUCCUGCUGCAUGGGGGGGGUUGGAAAGUUUCGGCGGUUGGGGAUGGACUCGCGGCUUAUCAGCUUGUUGGUGGGGUAGUGGCUUACCAAGGCUUUGACGGGUAGCCGGCCUGAGAGGGUGACCGGCCACAUUGGGCCUGCGAGACGGCCCAGACUCCUACGGGAGGCAGCAGUGGGGAAUAUUGCACAAUGGGCGGAAGCCUGAUGCAGCAACGCCGCGUGCGGGAUGCCGGCCUUCGGGUUGUAAACCGCUUUCGCCUGUGACGAAGCGUGAGUGACGGUAAUGGGUAAAGAAGCACCGGCUAACUACGUG